rnacentral:rRNA from 1 species
AGUCGCGGGAGAUCUCGAACUUCGGUUCGAGAGGAGACCGGCGGAUGGGUGAGUAACGCGUAGGUAAUCUGCCUUCAGGACGGGGAUAACCCACCGAAAGGUGAGCUAAUACCGGAUGAUGCAGCGGGGCCGCAUGGCCACAGUUGUUAAAUCCUUCGGGAGCCUGGAGAUGAACCUGCGUGCCAUUAGCUAGUUGGUAGGGUCAAAGCCUACCAAGGCGAUGAUGGCUAGGGGGUCUGAGAGGAUGAUCCCCCACACUGGGACUGAGACACGGCCCAGACUCCUACGGGAGGCAGCAGUGAGGAAUCUUGCGCAAUGGGGGCAACCCUGACGCAGCCACGCCGCGUGCUGGAAGACGGCCCUAUGGGUUGUAAACAGCUUUUACUGGGGAAGAACCUGGACCUUUCGAGGACCACUGACGGUACCCAGUGAAUAAGCACCGGCUAACUCCGUGCCAGCAGCCGCGGUAAUACGGAGGGUGCAAGCGUUGUCCGGAAUCAUUGGGUGUAAAGGGUGUGCAGGCGGAAGUCUAAGUCGGAGGUGAAAUCUUGCCGCUUAACGGUAAAAGGGCCUUCGAAACUGGAUUUCUUGAGUUCGGAAGAGGUUGGUGGAAUUCGUGGUGUAGCGGUGAAAUGCAUAGAUAUCACGAAGAACACCGGUGGCGAAGGCGGCCAACUGGUCCGAUACUGACGCUGAGACACGAGAGCGUGGGGAGCGAACAGGAUUAGAUACCCUGGUAGUCCACGCUGUAAACGAUGC